UAUAGAUCCAUACAAAAACUUAAGAGCAAUAAUCUGACACUCUGCAUUUCUUGUGAUGGAAAAAGGACAGGACAAAGCAUUUCUCAUUGGAAUAUGAGGUUUUUGUACAAGCAGUGAGUGGAGAUGCAGCACUGUGAUUACUUCGACUACUGGGGUCAUGGGACUGAAGUCACAGUAUCUACAGGAACAACUACAUCACCAACUCUUUUCCCUUUGGUUCAGUGCCAACCUGGGUCUGGAGAUAAGAUCACUCUUGGUUGUCUUGCACAUGACUUUUCCCCAAAGAGUCUUACUUUCCAGUGGACCGAUGCCAGUGGGACCCCCCUGACUUCUGUAAAUUAUCAUCCAGCUGAGAAAAACAACAAAUAUACAGGAGUCAGUUCAGUCCAAAUAUCAAAAUCGGACUGGGAUUCAUAUAAGGCUUUUAAUUGCUCUGUGACCCACCCUGGAGGCCCCAGAAGUGUGAAAGUAGAAAAGGCCCCAUUUCCUCCUAAGGUAACUUUGCUAUCUGAGACCCUGGUGUGUUCAAUUGAAGGUUUUCUUCCAAAAGAAUUGUCAGUCAAAUGGAAAAAAGAUGCAAGCUAUGUAACUGGCUCCAGUAACUUGGCCACCCAAAAAAUUGGAGAUGUAUAUUCAGCCGUCAGUUUCCUGAAGGUCAAUAACACAGACUGGGACAGUAAAGCUGUUUACACAUGUGAGGUGACGCACCGAGAAACAACUUAUACAAAGAAGGCCUCAAAAGCUCCUGUCACAGUGACACUGAACCAACCCAGUGCCAAAGAAAUUUUCAGCAACAACAAAAUAAAGUUGGAGUGUAUCAUUACUGGACAGGAUGAGACCAUUGUAAAUACAAUUCAAAUCACUUGGCAAAUUGAUGGACAAGAUGUGACCAACGACAUUAAUGAAUCAACUGUCAAGUCUGUAGGCGUUCAGCACAGCAAAACCAGCACGAUGACUCGUAGUCUGUCUGAGUGGCAGAGAGUCAACAAAGUGCGCUGUUCUGCCAUUAAAGACGAUAUGACUCCAGUUAUUCAGGAUCUGACUGUCCACAAAGGAGAUGGGAGUGAGCCAAAUGUGACAGUCCAUGCCCUCCCAGAGGAGGACAUCAGCAAAGGAGCUGUGGUCUCUCUGGUGUGUCUGGUCUCUGGUCCUGUGCUGCAGGAUUACUACAUCGCCUGGUCAGAAGGUUCUGGAAAUAAGGCCUGCAACUAUAAGGAUGGCAUUAACUUCCCCCCACAGAAGACCCAACAAGGCUACUUAGUUACAAGUGUUUACACCACCACCAAGGAAAAGUGGGACAAGCACAACAUGUUCUACUGCAACGUCUGGCCUGCUGGUAGAAAUAAGGCCAUAUUAACCAAAGGAGUGUCUAAGGCCCAUGGUGAAUCACUUGAAUGUUGA